AGCAGCCGCGGUAAUUCCAGCUCCAAUAGCGUAUAUUAAAGUUGUUGCAGUUAAAAGCUCGUAGUUGAAUUUUGGGUCUGGGCGGGCGGUCCACCUCCGGUGAGUACUGUUCCGACGCCGGGCCUAUCCUUCUGGUGAGUCGGCAUGCCCUUCGCUGGGUGUGUCGGGGAACCAGGACCAUUACCUUGAAAAAUUAGAGUGUUCAAAGCAGGCAUUUGCUCGAAUACAUUAGCAUGGAAUAAUGAAAUAGGACGCGUGGUACUAUUUUGUGGUUUCUAGGACCGCCGUAAUGAUUAAUAGGGAUAGUUGGGGGCAUUAGUAUUCAAUUGUCAGAGGUGAAAUUCUUGGAUUUAUUGAAGACUAACUUCUGCGAAAGCAUUUGCCAAGGAUGUUUUCAUUAAUCAAGAACGAAAGUUAGGGAUCGAAGACGAUCAGAUACCGUCGUAGUCUACACGUAAACUAUGCCGACUAGGAAUCGGGCGAUGUUAUUUUAACGACUCGCCCGGCGCCUUAUGGGAAA
rnacentral:rRNA from 1 species